rnacentral:rRNA from 1 species
GACGAACGCUGGCGGCGUGCUUAACACAUGCAAGUCGAACGAAGAGCGACGGAAGCUUGCUUCUAUCAAUCUUAGUGGCGCACGGGUGAGUAACGCGUAAUCAACCUGCCCUUCAGAGGGGGACAACAGGGGGAAACGACUGCUAAUACCGCAUACGAUCUAACCUCGGCAUCGAGGAUAGAUGAAAGGUGGCCUCUACAUGUAAGCUAUCACUGAAGGAGGGGUUUGCGGCUGAUUAGGUAGCUGGGGGGGUAACGGCCCACCAAGGGGAUGAUCAGUAGGCGGUCUGAGAGGAUGAACGGCCACAUUGGGACUGAGAAACGGCCCAGACUCCUACGGGAGGCAGCAGUGGGGAAUCUUCCGCAAUGGACGGAAGGCUGACGGGGGAACGCCGCGUGAGUGAUGACGGCCCUCGGGUUGGAAAGAUCCGUUAAUCGGGGCGAAAGGCCUUCUUGCGAAUAGGGAGAAGGAUUGACGGUACCGGAAGAGAAAGCCACGGCUAACUACGUG